UUGUAACUCUAUUUUUAGUUUUAUGUACAGUUUACUCUAAAAUCAUGCGUUUUUUUGCAUUUAAUGUCAUUUGUGAGAGAACACCAGAACGAAAUGGAUAUCGAAAAUUUAAUUAGUGAAGUAUUUUACGACCAGCGCUAUGGGACCAAAAAGAGCAAAAACUAUCACAACAGAAUUUUGGUGGUAAAAAUUGGACAGAAAUUGAAAACAUGUUAGAAACAUCAAAAGACGGCUUAAAAAAUGGAAGAACCUCCGGGACCAAUUCCGCAAUGAAUGGAAAAAAUUCCUGUUUCAAAAUCUGGCGACUCUGGUGUUUCAGAGGAGGCUUACAGCAAUUACACUUCUUGGCCUCAUUUUAAUAGUCUACUCUUUUUAAAGGACCAAAUAAAACCUCGUAAAUCGGUUGGUAAUUUUGAAGCAUCACAAUUAAACUUUGAGCCA